AGACAACUCAAUUAUUGCUACAACAUUAUGAAAGCAUAGUAUGAAAAUAAAAAAAUAAUGAUUGAUACCAAAUGCAUACAAAAACAAGUUUAUACUACCCUUAAGGUCACUGGUUUUGCACUUUUUUUCCCAAAUCUAUAGCCUUGUAGAAAAUCAAAGAGAAUGUCUUACACACUUUUAAUGAUUCAGUCAUACUGAAAACAUUUCAGUUUUGGUGUCUUCCACCCUAAAAAAGUUUAGGCUGCCUACAAGGGCGUAGGUUUGGUCUACCAUUUCAGUCAAAAAGUGUUUCACACAUCUCAAAUAUUGGUUAAUUGUCAUAGUUACCUGAAAAAAUACACUUGUUGAAUGAUUUCAAUGCAACUUUACUAAAAAUGUCUGGUUUGCUGAUUUAAGAGACACAUUCAAAAAUGAUGAAAGAAACCAUGAGGCCAGUAAUCGCGCUGUUCUUCGCACUGAUGGUGAUGAGUGCACUAGUGUGCAAUGUCUACGCUGGAUGUGAGAAUGGGAGGUGUUAUCGGAAAUGCACUAACGAUGAAUAUAUAGGCCAUCGUUUAUACUGUGGUGGUGGAAAUGUAUGCUGUGUUUAAAAAGGAGAUUUAAAAAAGGAUUUGGGCCACUGCGAUCGCUGAACCGUGGUGAAAAACAUUAACCUUUUAAGAUGGACUUUGUGGAUCAAGCAAUGUGCACAAUUGUUGACAAUAUUUUUUAUAAUUUUUUUAUAAAUGCAUUUAUUUAACAUACACAAGCUGUAAUGGGCCUUCCCAUAACAAAUGAAGACUGGAACCAAAUCAAAGCACUGUGGUGACUGCAACUCUGAUAUUUUGAAAAAUGUGACCACUUUUAAACAGAGGCAGAUACAAACUGCUAGACUAACACUCUGACAAUAACAAGGGGAAACCGUGGUCGAGGUGCUACACCAACAGCCAACUGCAUGGCCCUUUAAUACACAAGAUAGAAAACAGUAGCCAAGGAAACCGCCAACAGGAGUAGAGUAUUAAACAUAUCAAGUAUUCCCAUGGUGUACAGUCACGACUCGAUAAAAAACGUUUACUGAAAUGGUGCUGAUUAUUGCUGGGAGUCAGUCGUUUGAGCAGCAAUGGGCAACUUGUGUACCAAACAAUUAGAGCACCCCUUUGUUGUUUUACAAAUCCAGUAAAAUGCAAGAGGAGGUGAAGAUACACACAUAUCAACCUAAAACCGCACCUAUCAUUCGGUUAGUGAGUCAAUUAUUAGUAUAA